rnacentral:rRNA from 1 species
GUCACUGCUAUCAGUGUUCGACUAAGCCAUGCAAGUCAAAUGUUCUUCGUGAACAUGGCGAACUGCUCAGUAACACGUGGAUAACCUGCCCUUAGGAUUGGCAUAACACCGGGAAACUGGUGAUAAUACCGAAUAGACCAUUUAUGCUGGAAUGCUUUUUGGUUCAAAGGCUUCGGCUGCCUAAGGAUGGAUCUGCGGCCUAUCAGGUAGUAGUGGGUGUAAUGUACCUACUAGCCUACGACGGGUACGGGUUGUGAGAGCAAGAGCCCGGAGAUGGAUUCUGAGACAUGAAUCCAGGCCCUACGGGGCGCAGCAGGCGCGAAAACUUUACAAUGCGGGAAACCGCGAUAAGGGGACACUGAGUGCCAGCAUAUUAUGUUGGCUGUCCACAUGUAUAAAAACCAUGUGUUAGCAAGGGCCGGGCAAGACCGGUGCCAGCCGCCGCGGUAACACCGGCGGCCCGAGUGGUGAUCACUUUUAUUGGGUCUAAAGGGUCCGUAGCCGGUUUGAUCAGUCUUCUGGGAAAUCUGACAGCUCAACUGUUAGGCUUUCAGGGGAUACUGUUAGACUUGGGACCGGGAGAGGUAAGAGGUACUACAGGGGUAGGAGUGAAAUCUUGUAAUCCCUGUGGGACCACCAGUGGCGAAGGCGUCUUACCAGAACGGGUCCGACGGUGAGGGACGAAAGCUGGGGGCACGAACCGGAUUAGAUACCCGGGUAGUCCCAGCCGUAAACGAUGCUCGCUAGGUGUCAGGGACGGUGCGACCGUUUCUGGUGCCGCAGGGAAGCCGUGAAGCGAGCCACCUGGGAAGUACGGCCGCAAGGCUGAAACUUAAAGGAAUUGGCGGGGGAGCACUACAACGGGUGGAGCCUGCGGUUUAAUUGGAUUCAACGCCGGG